AACGCUAGCUACAGGCUUAACACAUGCAAGUCGAGGGGCAGCAUGGUCUUAGCUUGCUAAGGCCGAUGGCGACCGGCGCACGGGUGAGUAACACGUAUCCAACCUGCCGUCUACUCUUGGACAGCCUUCUGAAAGGAAGAUUAAUACAAGAUGGCAUCAUGAGUUCACGUGUUCACAUGAUUAAAGGUAUUCCGGUAGACGAUGGGGAUGCGUUCCAUUAGAUAGUAGGCGGGGUAACGGCCCACCUAGUCUUCGAUGGAUAGGGGUUCUGAGAGGAAGGUCCCCCACAUUGGAACUGAGGCACGGUCCAAACUCCUACGGGAGGCAGCAGUGAGGAAUAUUGGUCAAUGGGCGAGAGCCUGAACCAGCCAAGUAGCGUGAAGGAUGACUGCCCUAUGGGUUGUAAACUUCUUUUAUAAAGGAAUAAAGUCGGGUAUGUAUACCCGUUUGCAUGUACUUUAUGAAUAAGGAUCGGCUAACUCCGUGCCAGCAGCCGCGGUAAUACGGAGGAUCCGAGCGUUAUCCGGAUUUAUUGGGUUUAAAGGGAGCGUAGAUGGAUGUUUAAGUCAGUUGUGAAAGUUUGCGGCUCAACCGUAAAAUUGCAGUUGAUACUGGAUAUCUUGAGUGCAGUUGAGGCAGGCGGAAUUCGUGGUGUAGCGGUGAAAUGCUUAGAUAUCACGAAGAACUCCGAUUG
rnacentral:rRNA from 1 species